ensembl:lncRNA
CGCCGCGCUUCAACCGCCCUCUCCGCACUCACCAACACAUCAAUGAGCAGGCGCGCUCACGCGCCUCCGUUACACACACCUGCUGGCGGGAACGGGAGCCAGGACCGCGUCUGUUCUCCUCCACCGGCGAACCGACGACCAGCAGAGGAGGGAGCACCGAGGAUAACCCUACGCUACAAUUCCUCCAUCUCCAUCAGUGGACUCAAACUGAGAGGGGAAAGCCAGCGAGUGCAAAUCACAGUCGGCCUUUCCCCUGCCCAUCUAAAAAGGGGGAGGCGGUGCCACCACCUGUAUCCAGCCUCCGCUGCAGGAGCUUGGAGAGACUGCUCACAGUAUUGCGGAUAAGUGAAACCCCACAGGAGGGUUGUUUCUUGCUGUGUGAACCAGAACGUGACCUGUGAUGCCCUAACCCCCGGCCGUCUUCUGCAUCGCUACACCCCCUACAGCACAG